rnacentral:rRNA from 1 species
GGUUAAGCGACUAAGCGUACACGGUGGAUGCCCUGGCAGUCAGAGGCGAUGAAGGGCGUGCUAAUCUGCGAUAAGCGCCGGUAAGGUGAUAUGAACCGUUAUAACCGGCGAUACCCGAAUGGGGAAACCCAGUGUGAUUCGUCACACUAUCAUUAACUGAAUCCAUAGGUUAAUGAGGCGAACCGGGGGAACUGAAACAUCUAAGUACCCCGAGGAAAAGAAAUCAACCGAGAUUCCCCCAGUAGCGGCGAGCGAACGGGGAGGAGCCCAGAGCCUGAAUCAGCAUGUGUGUUAGUGGAAGCGUCUGGAAAGGCGCGCGAUACAGGGUGACAGCCCCGUACACAAAAGCGCAUGUGCUGUGAGCUCGAUGAGUAGGGCGGGACACGUGGUAUCCUGUCUGAAUAUGGGGGGACCAUCCUCCAAGGCUAAAUACUCCUGACUGACCGAUAGUGAACCAGUACCGUGAGGGAAAGGCGAAAAGAACCCCGGCGAGGGGAGUGAAAAAGAACCUGAAACCGUGUACGUACAAGCAGUGGGAGCACCCUUUGGGUGUGACUGCGUACCUUUUGUAUAAUGGGUCAGCGACUUAUAUUCUGUAGCAAGGUUAACCGAAUAGGGGAGCCGGAGGGAAACCGAGUCUUAAUUGGGCGUUAAGUUGCAGGGUAUAGACCCGAAACCCGGUGAUCUAGCCAUGGGCAGGUUGAAGGUUGGGUAACACUAACUGGAGGACCGAACCGACUAAUGUUGAAAAAUUAGCGGAUGACCUGUGGCUGGGGGUGAAAGGCCAAUCAAACCGGGAGAUAGCUGGUUCUCCCCGAAAGCUAUUUAGGUAGCGCCUCGUGAAUUCAUCUCCGGGGGUAGAGCACUGUUUCGGCUAGGGGGCCAUCCCGGCUUACCAACCCGAUGCAAACUGCGAAUACCGGAGAAUGUUAUCACGGGAGACACACGGCGGGUGCUAACGUCCGUCGUGAAGAGGGAAACAACCCAGACCGCCAGCUAAGGUCCCAAAGUCAUGGUUAAGUGGGAAACGAUGUGGGAAGGCCCAGACAGCCAGGAUGUUGGCUUAGAAGCAGCCAUCAUUUAAAGAAAGCGUAAUAGCUCACUGGUCGAGUCGGCCUGCGCGGAAGAUGUAACGGGGCUAAACCAUGCACCGAAGCUGCGGCAGCGACACUGUGUGUUGUUGGGUAGGGGAGCGUUCUGUAAGCCUG